UACAGAGGGGGCAAGCGUUGUUCGGAAUUACUGGGCGUAAAGGGCGCGUAGGCGGCCGCCUAAGUCAGACGUGAAAUCCCUCGGCUCAACCGGGGAACUGCGUCUGAUACUGGGUGGCUUGAAUCCGGGAGAGGAAUGCGGAAUUCCAGGUGUAGCGGUGAAAUGCGUAGAUAUCUGGAGGAACACCGGUGGCGAAGGCGGCAUUCUGGACCGGCAUUGACGCUGAGGCGCGAAAGCGUGGGGAUCAAACAGG
rnacentral:rRNA from 1 species